AGCUAUUUCGUCUAAAAGGAUUUUAAAUUGCAAAUUUAAAGGUGAUAUUAAAUAUAUCUUUAGCUU
rnacentral:tRNA from 1 species